rnacentral:rRNA from 1 species
AGAGUGAACGCUGGCGGUAGGCCUAACACAUGCAAGUCGAACGGCAGCACAGUAGGAGCUUGCUCUUACGGGUGGCGAGUGGCGGACGGGUGAGGAAUACAUCGGAAUCUACCUUUUGGUGGGGGAUAACGUAGGGAAACUUACGCUAAUACCGCAUACGCCCUUCGGGGGAAAGCCGGGGACCAGCAAUGGCCUGGCGCUGAUAGAUGAGCCGAUGUCGGAUUAGCUAGUUGGUGAGGUAAUGGCUCACCAAGGCGACGAUCCGUAGCUGGUCUGAGAGGAUGAUCAGCCACACUGGAACUGAGACACGGUCCAGACUCCUACGGGAGGCAGCAGUGGGGAAUAUGGACAAGUGGGCGCAACGCCUG